CGGGGGGAGCAAGCGUUGUUCGGAUUUACUGGGCGUAAAGGGCGCGUAGGCGGCCACCGCAAGUCAAUUGUGAAAUCUCCGGGCUUAACUCGGAAAGGUCAACUGAUACUGCGGGGCUAGAGUGCAGAAGGGGCAACUGGAAUUCUCGGUGUAGCGGUGAAAUGCGUAGAUAUCGAGAGGAACACCUGCGGCGAAGGCGGGUUGCUGGGCUGACACUGACGCUGAGGCGCGAAAGCUAGGGGAGCGAACGGGAUUAGAUACCCCGGUAGUCCUAGCCUUAAACGAUGAAUGCUUGGUGUCUGGGGUUAUAAAGUCCCCGGGUGCCGUCGCUAACGCUCUAAGCAUUCCGCCUGGGGAGUACGGUCGCAAGACUG
rnacentral:rRNA from 1 species